rnacentral:rRNA from 1 species
UACGUAGGGGGCAAGCGUUGUCCGGAAUUAUUGGGCGUAAAGCGCGUGUAGGCGGUCCGCUAAGUCGGCUGUGAAAGUCCAGGGCUCAACCCUGGGAUGCCGGUCGAUACUGGCGAGCUUGAGUGCAGGAGAGGAACGCGGAAUUCCAGGUGUAGCGGUGAAAUGCGUAGAUAUCUGGAGGAACACCGGUGGCGAAGGCGGCAUCCUGGACCGGGAUUGACACUGAGGCGCGAAAGCCAGGGGAGCAAACGGG